AACUGAUACUACCUGCGGGAACCUGCGGAAGGAUCAUUACCGAGUUCAUGCCCUCACGGGUAGAUCUCCCACCCUUGUGUAUUCUAUGUUUGUGUUGCUUUGGCAGGCCGUGGGCCUCGCCCACCACCGGCUCUCGGGCUGGUGCGCGCCUGCCAGAGGACUCUUUAAACUCUGUUUGUUAGUGUCGUCUGAGUAUGAUAACAAUCGUUAAAACUUUCAACAACGGAUCUCUAGAUCGGA
rnacentral:misc_RNA from 1 species